rnacentral:lncRNA from 1 species
UUCGUUAUUUGGUUCAUUAAUUAUUUCUUCUGUUUUUUCUCUAUUCCCUUCCCCGAAGUGUUGGUUUUCUUCUGCAAUGAUAUAUGGUUUUGCCUCGUCUUCGUUGUUUUUUUGGGUGUUUGAUUUUGAUUUAGGGGGUGAUUGGUGAUAAAUGAUGGCAAUUUUGAGUCUACAGUCCUUCCACUUUUCCUUUCAGAUUUAGACGAUUGCAACGAUG